GCCAUAUUAUUAUCGGGGACUUUUAAAUUAUUGUCGCUAGCCUUAAAUGUCAUUUAUCUUAGCUGUGGACGUGGCUGAUUGUGAUUACACAAUAUCACGUGCAGAGUGCACAUUUAUAAUGCCAUUAAAAGCAGUCCGUACAGGAUUUCUGCGUUUUUUUUUUUUUGUGGUUUGUUUUUUUUUGGUUUUUCUUGUGAUUGUUGUGGCCAAAAUGCUUCAUUUAGCUGCGUUUUUUUUUUCUUCUUCACAAUUUGCAAUUGCAAUUUUUCAGAAAACUACUUGAAUUGGAGAAUUUGCACUCGCGUGAACUUGCUUUGCACGGUCUUUCACAGCGAUGUUUGUUUGUAAAUGAGACCUUUUAGCUGUACUCAUGUUCGACGUACGUGAAUCGAAGAGGGGUUUGGCUAAAUGCGUGUGGUGAUGAGAUCACACUCAAUCAGUCUUGGCCCAAAUCUGAGGUAAUUUUGAAAAAUCGCAAGCUCCACCGAAUAUUGCCGAGUUUACUUGAUUUUGCAUUGAUUUCUGCUAUCGCAAAAUCACGAAAUCCUGGAGGGACUGUAGAAUAUCAUUAUCUUGAAAAUUUAUAUCAACACUAGUAACAAAUUCAUUCAUUCAUCCAUCAGUAAUCACUUAAUCCUGUUCAGAUGCAUGGUGGGAAAACAUCUUGGAAAGUCCAUUCACACACUAGGCGUAAUUUAGUAUAGCCAAUCCUCCUGUUUUUUUUUUCUUUCGAGGUUGCACGUAUCGGACAACCUGGAAGAAACCUACACGACCAUGGGAGAACGUGCGAAACACCACCUAGACCGAAACCUGAGCUCAGGGUCGAUGUAACAUCAAUAUCACUGCUUAAAUCACUUUUUCAUUUAGAAAGGUUUGGUAAUAAAUAAGCGUUCUUAUGAUCAUUGGAACAAAUGACAACUUUUCAUCUACACUUGCCAUUUCACCAGCUUUGAUCUGUCAUUACUUUGCAAUUGAUGUUUCCAUGAUAUCCUAAAGUUGAUAAUAGUUAAGAAACUUAAAAUAAUGACAUUAAAAGAUCUCUGACAGUCAGUUGUUACAUGCUUU
ensembl:lncRNA